rnacentral:rRNA from 1 species
AGAGUUUGAUCCUGGCUCAGGAUGAACGCUAGCUACAGGCUUAACACAUGCAAGUCGAGGGGAAACGACAUCGAAAGCUUGCUUUUGAUGGGCGUCGACCGGCGCACGGGUGAGUAACGCGUAUCCAACCUGCCCACCACUUGGGGAUAACCUUGCGAAAGUAAGACUAAUACCCAAUGACGUCUCUAGAGGACAUCUGAAAGAGAUUAAAGAUUUAUCGGUGAUGGAUGGGGAUGCGUCUGAUUAGCUUGUUGGCGGGGUAACGGCCCACCAAGGCUACGAUCAGUAGGGGUUCUGAGAGGAAGGUCCCCCACAUUGGAACUGAGACACGGUCCAAACUCCUACGGGAGGCAGCAGUGAGGAAUAUUGGUCAAUGGACGAGAGUCUGAACCAGCCAAGUAGCGUGCAGGAUGACGGCCCUAUGGGUUGUAAACUGCUUUUAUAAGGGAAUAAAGUGAGUCUCGUGAGACUUUUUGCAUGUACCUUAUGAAUAAGGACCGGCUAAUUCCGUGCCAGCAGCCGCGGUAAUACGGAAGGUCCGGGCGUUAUCCGGAUUUAUUGGGUUUAAAGGGAGCGUAGGCCGGAGAUUAAGCGUGUUGUGAAAUGUAGAUGCUCAACAUCUGCACUGCAGCGCGAACUGGUUUCCUUGAGUACGCACAAAGUGGGCGGAAUUCGUGGUGUAGCGGUGAAAUGCUUAGAUAUCACGAAGAACUCCGAUUGCGAAGGCAGCUCACUGGAGCGCAACUGACGCUGAAGCUCGAAAGUGCGGGUAUCGAACAGGAUUAGAUACCCUGGUAGUCCGCACGGUAAACGAUGGAUGCCCGCUGUUGGUCUGAAUAGGUCAGCGGCCAAGCGAAAGCAUUAAGCAUCCCACCUGGGGAGUACGCCGGCAACGGUGAAAC